GGGCCUGUAGCUCAGUCGGUUAGAGCAGAGGACUCAUAAUCCUUUGGUCCUGGGUUCGAGUCCCAGCGGGCCCACCA
rnacentral:tRNA from 6 species